UAAUAAUAAUAAUAAUAAUAAUAAUAAUAAUAGGAGCAACCCCCACAUCCCCUGAGUGGAACGCAAGGGGCGGCGAGGAAGAUUAGGGAAAAAAGGCUUUUUGGGGAAAGGGAAGCUUGGAAAAAGGGCUUUUGGAGGCAAGGGAAGCAAGGAAAUACCAGGCUGGUACUCUUUCAUUAUCUGGGCGGAGGCCACUAGGGGUGCUAGAAAAAGAAGAAUAGUCCAUUUUAUGGGGGGAGGGUGGAUUGAAGGAGUAAGAUCAUUUCUCCCUGUUUUCCUGUUAUUCCCCCUACCCAUAAUAUGUUGUCUAUUAUGCGGGGGACACGGAAAGAGCCUCCCCAAAGAUUGAGUAAAUUCAGUCGGGCGUCCCCUGGGCAACGUUUCUUGUAAGCGGCCAAUCUUUCCACACCCAAAAGCAUUGGAUGAAUGGAUGAAUACCAAAGGUCUUUAUCAAGACCAUUGCUAACGAUUAUGUCUAUUAAUAUAGAAUGUUUGUCACUUGCUAAGGAAGAACUAUUAGCCAAAAUGUCUGAGGACAUUUCGUGUGACAUCCUAUGUAUACAGGAAACACACAGAGACAUCACAAUGAGAAGACCAAAAAUUCUUGGAAUGCAACUGGCAGUGGAACGACCUCACAGACAAUAUGGCAGUGCCAUUUUUGUACGAUCUGGUGUAGCGAUCUCUGCAACUUCCUUCACAGAAGAGAACAAUAUUGAAAUCUUAUCUGUGGAACUUGAUAGUUGCACCGUAUCAUCACUCUAUAAACCACCUGGGGCUGAUUUCUAUUUUACGCCCCCAACCAAUUGCCACAAUCAUGAAGCCCAUUUUAUUGUGGGAGAUUUCAAUAGCCAUAGCUGUGUCUGGGGCUAUGAUGAAGAUGAUAGAAAUGGUGAAGCAGUUCUAACGUGGGCCGACAACAGUAGAAUGAGCCUCCUCCAUGACAGUAAAUUACCACCAUCUUUUAAUAGCGGCCGAUGGAAGCGUGGUUAUAACCCUGAUCUGAUUUUUGUAAAGGAAAGCAUAAUCCAGCAAUGCAUCAAAAGGGUAUUAAACCCGAUACCUAACACACAACACAGACCAAUAUGCUACGUAGCAUAUGCAGCUAUAAGACCAAAAAGUGUCCCAUUCCGCAGAAGAUAUAACUUCAAUAAAGCUAACUGGACAAAGUUUACAGAGACCUUGGAAGCUGCUAUUUCUGAUAUAGAACCUUCUACAGAAAAUUAUGACCUGUUUGUAGAAGCUGUGAAAAGAUCUUCAAGGCUCUCUGUUAUGAUUGAGCCUCAUGGCUCUGCUACAGGGAAGCGUGGGCGUAAGACUCCUCGAGAGUCAGAUACUCUCGAGGAGCGAGAAAGAAAGAGGCUGCGAGAUAUCUUUGCAGAACCAUCUGACGAGGAUUCUUUUGAGGGGUUUACAGAGAGAAUGGAGGAAGAGGUGGUGAGCUCGGAAGAGGAUGAGAUGGAUUGGACUCGGGUAAGGGAGGAAUUGGGUGCCACUGGCAAUGAUGGGAUGGAAGAUGAUUGGGGACCUUCAGGACUAGACCCAUGGACAAGCUGGAGGGAUGGGACGGGAUCCACAGCUGGGGAUGUAGUCAGAGGUGUUCCAGCUCUGAUGAGGAAAGUGAUGAGGAAACGCCCGGGUUAAGAAGGGCAGCUGAUAGUGAUGAGGACUUGUAACUGGCAUAAAAUGGGGCUUGGGAGCAAUUGCAAAUUGCGUUGGGCAAGGUAAUCUGGACGAACGCUUGGGAUCUGUGUGGGACGUUUUCCUGAAGACGGGUGUGUUUCGUGUGCUGACUACCUUUGACCUUCCGUCGUCUUCUUGACGGACGCCAUCUGCUACUCUGGAUUUACGGACUGAACUGACUACGGGCUCGGAUUCUCCUACCUGGACUUGGUGAACUACAAACGUCUGCUUCUGCCUUACGACCUUCGGAAAGAACUGGGACUACGCUACUGCUUCAAUCCUCGGCUGUUGUGUUUGUAUUGGAACCUUGCCUGCUGUGUGGAGG